rnacentral:rRNA from 1 species
UGCCAGCCGCCGCGGUAACACGGGGGGCGCAAGCGUUAUUCGGAAUUAUUGGGCGUAAAGGGCGCGCAGGCGGUCUUGUCCGUCAGGCGUGAAAACCCGGGGCUCAACCCCGCGGAAUGCAGACGAUACUGGCAGACUGGAGAUCGGUAGAGGCUAGCGGAAUUCCAGGUGUAGCGGUGGAAUGCGUAGAUAUCUGGAAGAACACCUGUGGCGAAGGCGGCUAGCUGGGCCGAGUCUGACACUCAUCCGCGAAAGCGUGGGGAGCAAACAGGAUUAGAUA